UGGGGAAUAUUGGACAAUGGGCGAAAGCCUGAUCCAGCCAUGCCGCGUGUGUGAAGAAGGUCUUCGGAUUGUAAAGCACUUUAAGUUGGGAGGAAGGGCAUUAACCUAAUACGUUAGUGUUUUGACGUUACCGACAGAAUAAGCACCGGCUAACUCUGUGUCAGCAGCCGCGGUAAUACAGAGGGUGCAAGCGUUAAUCGGAAUUACUGGGAGUAAAGCGCGCGUAGGUGGUUUGUUAAGUUGGAUGUGAAAUCCCCGGGCUCAACCUGGGAACUGCAUUCAAAACUGACUGACUAGAGUAUGGUAGAGGGUGGUGGAAUUUCCUGUGUAGCGGUGAAAUGCGUAGAUAUAGGAAGGAACACCAGUGGCGAAGGCGACCACCUGGACUAAUACUGACACUGAGGUGCGAAAGCGUGGGGAGCAAACA
rnacentral:rRNA from 1 species